UACGGAGGGGGCUAGCGUUGUUCGGAAUUACUGGGCGUAAAGCGCACGUAGGCGGCUUGAAAAGUUGGGGGUGAAAGCCCGGAGCUCAACUCCGGAAUUGCCUUCAAAACUCUUAAGCUAGAGUUCGGAAGAGGAGAGUGGAAUUCCCAGUGUAGAGGUGAAAUUCGUAGAUAUUGGGAAGAACACCAGUGGCGAAGGCGGCUCUCUGGUCCGAUACUGACGCUGAGGUGCGAAAGCGUGGGGAGCAAAC
rnacentral:rRNA from 1 species